UUAGGAUGUUAUAUGAUUUUUUUAAAAUUUAUUUCUUGGAUUCUAUUAAAAAUAUACAUAGUAUUUUAUUUAUUUUUUGAAAGAAAUUGUUAAACAGCAAAAAAAAAAUAAUAAUAAUAACAUAGGUAGAUAGUAUAAUACAAAUACACGAAGUGAACAAAUCAAUUAUACUUUUAUGAUAAAGUAUGCAAAUGUGGGAGUAUAUUUGGGGAUAAUAUAUUGGGACGUUUCGAUUUGGUUUGUAGCUGUACCGAGUGCUGUACCGUCAAACGGAUCGCUUACUCGCAAGAAUAUUACAAAUUAAACUAAUUUUAAUAAUAAUAAUGAUAAUAAUAAUAAAUAAAAUCAGGCAAGCGCCGUUCAUUAAUAAAGAACCUUAGUAGAAUUAAUAAAAAUAAACAAAAAAAAAAAAAUCGAACGCGUAGAGGAUUAAAAAUAAUAAAAAAAUACACAAAAUCAUCAGAACAUAAUAUGCGACUGGUAUUAUAUACUGAUAUUAUUAUGAUUAAUAUAUAAAUGUUGGUGAUGGGACAUGUGUUUUGAUAAUAUAGUUAUGACAGUAAAAAUUAAUCAAAAAAAAAAAAAUAAUAAUAAUAGACUUAAGUGACGGAGGAUGGAUGCGUUGAAAACCGAGGCAAUUCGAACGAUUAUAAUAUAUUGACCCGUUAUCCCUUUAUAAGUUGGCUACAAGUAAAAAAAAAAAAAAAACCAGAAUCAUCGAUUAUCGCGCACUAAUACCUAUACAACUACAGCGAACAUAAGAAAAAGAAAUACAAAAAUCAUAUUUUCAUAACCUCCGAAAUUAUAGUAGCCCAGAGUGACUGCUAUAUGUUGUAACCUUUCAAAAACAAAAAAACGCUCAUACCUAUUUCCAUUGACGUUUUCUAUAAUGAAAUCAAAAAACAAAGAUUUUUACGCGUAAUCAUAAUAAUAUAAUUAUAUUUAAAUAUAUUUUUUUUAAAUUUCCAUAAUAUAUAAUAUUUGUCUAUAUAUAUAUAUAUAUAUAUAUAUAUAUAUAUAUAUAUAUAUAUACACGUUUAUUAUUGGAGAUCAAGAAUACAUUUAUGACGCGUAAAUUAUUAUAUUAUUUUACUAUACUAUUUUUUGACUCGAAUAAUUAUAUUUAAUUUUUUUAUUAUUAUUAUUUUUUAAUUGUGAACGAGCGAAAAUCAAAAAAAAGUAAUACUAAUACUAAAACGAAAAAAAAAAAAAAAAACAAAUAAUUUCUACGCGAUUAUUAUAAUAUGAUCAUCGAUCAACAAUAAAUUGUAGCCCACGUGCGUAUUCGAGAGAUCUAUACGAUAUCCGACUAUAUAUCAGACUAAUAUAAUAAUUAUCGUGCAUAACAACACGUAAACGUAAUUUGUACAAUAUUAUUAAAACAAAGUUUGCGAAUUGAAUCCGUGCACACGGGUAGAAUGAAAUAUUAUAUGUAUUAUGUAACCGAGUGGGAGAAUAAACGAACAAUUUUUUUUUUUUUUUUUUAUGAAAUUUGACGUUGUUUUGGUGGGUUUUUACUUUUCCGCAGCGUAUUACAUAAUAAUAAUAAUAAUAUAAACAGGAGAUCAUACAAAAAAUAAUGUCAAAUAGAAUAAACAAUAUUAUUUAAGAAUCUUAAAACGCUAAGGAAAUAAUAAUAAAAAAAAAUAAUAUUAUUAUUGUUUACCGAAAUAUAAUUAUAACAUAAUUGCUUAUUUACUAUAAAAAAAAAAAAAAAACGGGAAAGCGACACCCCGGUGACGUCGUAUCCGUUUUACAAACGCACGGCGACGCGACAUUAUUAUCAAUUAUUCCCGUUCAACCGCAAUAUUAUCUGGAAACUCAAGAGGCGUGGGAAUUGUCCGCUUGACGUUCUGCAACUGUCGAUGUUUCGACGGUUUUUGAACGACGUGAUACGCAAAUAGCGUUUUUUUUUUUUUUUUAAAUAUAAUCCGUGAUCUUGUUUCGCGUACGCCGGAAAACACGGAAGUGUCGAAUAAAACCCGCGCACCCGCAACACACAAACCUUACACCAAUCACGUUCUCGCGCCUUUGAGACCGAUUACAAUAUCACGGCCGAUUUAAAAUCAAAAAAGCGAAAAGCGAAAAAUCGGGACCGGCGAACGCGAAUUAACUGCUACGUCGCCGUCGUGCGUUCGUGGUAACGGCACGCCCCUGUUGACCGUUUAUGCAAACCCGUAGACAACAUUUUCUAAAACUAUUUAUCACAUAUUUAUUGUUAUUAUUAUUUUAUUGUAUUUUUUUUCCGUGCUAUUUGCAGUAACAAAAUAAUAUUCGUCGUCAUACAAAAUAUAAUAAAUUUGGUCGGAGUGGCGAAGAAAACAUUUGACCGCGCGACUAUACUCUCGUUCGCUGGCCGUCGCCACUUAGUGGACUAAACCAAAGAAAAAAAAAACCGUAAUAAUUAAUAAUAAUAAAUAAAACCGGAAAAAAAAAAAUAAUAAUGAGUAUACACAUUACGCUUAUCAACUAAAAUGAAUAAUAAAAGAAAAACAAGUAAAAUAAUCGUAUUGAUAUAAUAAUAUUAUAAAGUGAGAAAAAAAAAAAAAAAAACUAAAAAUCGUUUUCUAUACAAUAACGUUUGGA